AGCAGCCGCGGUAAUUCCAGCUCCAAUAGCGUAUAUUAAAGUUGUUGCAGUUAAAAAGCUCGUAGUUGGAUUUCUGAGGGGGCACCAAUGUCCGCUCGUUGCGUGUGCAGCGGGGCCCCCUCAUCCUUCUGUUAACGUUUCUGAUAUUCACUUAUUGGUCUCGGGCUCAGAUAUUUUACCUUGAGAAAAUUAGAGUGUUCUAGGCAGGCUUGCGCCGGAAUACAUUAGCAUGGAAUAGUAGAAUAGGACUUUAGUCUCCUUUGUUGGUUUGAGGGACUGAAGUA
rnacentral:rRNA from 1 species